GCGGGCGUAGUACAAUGGCAGUAUACAUGCUUCCCAAGCAUGAGACGUGGGUCCGAUUCCCAUCGUCCGCUCAA
rnacentral:tRNA from 3 species